rnacentral:ncRNA from 2 species
AACCCCGAUCCUGCGUCAGGUUCCUCGAAAGAGGAUGAAAAGGGAACGGGGUAUCUCAGGCCCCGGCUGUCCCCGCAACUGUAGGCGGUGAGCCCGCGCGUCAAAGGUCACUGGACUGCCGGCCUCGUUCGGCCAGGUCCGGGAAGGCGACGCGCACCGGCGACGAUCCGCGAGCCAGGAGACCUGCCCGGCGUCGUCGUUCUUC